rnacentral:tRNA from 1 species
GUAACUGAGGUUUAGUGGUAGAAUUUUUGCCUUCCAAGCAGAAGACCCAGGUUCAAUUCCCAGCCAAUGUA